AGAUAGUUGAAUUACAGAUAGUUGAAUUACAGGUGCAGAUAUCAGAUAGUUGAAUUACAGAUAGUUGAAUUACAGGUGCAGAUAUCAGAUAGUUGAAUUACAGAUAGUUGAAUUACAGGUGCAGAUAUCAGAUAGUUGAAUUACAGAUAGUUGAAUUACAGGUGCAGAUAUCAGAUAGUUGAAUUACAGAUAGUUGAAUUACAGAUAG